GUACUGGUGUGUGCAAGCAAGAGAUCUGCAGCUCCAGGGCUGGUGGUGAGUGUGAGAAUGGGUCCCGAAAGUGAAGACAUCGUGGGGGAGGAGAUGGGAAGAGAGAAAGGAAUCUUUCCCAAUGAAUUCCCAGUGUCCACCACUGGAGUGCUGUUUGUCUGUGCCUUGGGAUACAAGGUGUUUUUCAACUACUGAUGCUGGUGGAAUCCCUGUGCCAUCUCUCCAGAAACAGCUUCCUGCUACCCGAAUUGUCUUCUGCAAGGAUGGGUUGGAGGUGCGCAGCAUGAAAGCCAAACAGAACACGGUCAGCUACUCUGUGCUGCUGAGCAUCACUGAGGGAAGCAGUGGGACAUAUAAGUGUUUGUACGAGCAGAGGAACAAGGAAAACUGGCAGAGGAGCUCUGUCCUCAGUGCCCCCCGGGACCUGCAUGUCACAGGCAACGUGUCCAGCUCCAUGGAAGGUACAGCAACUGCUGACCCCAACAACCAGCAGGCCUCCACAGUCACUGCAGUGGUAUUGGUGACUGUCACCCUCCUCCUUUCUGCAGCAACCUUCUGGACCAUCAAGAAAGGUGCCUGCAGGGAGAGAUGCCAAAGGUGAGCAGGAAUGGUCUGGUGAGGACUGGGGGAUUUAGGUGCAGCUGAGACUCUGUGCAGGGCAGCAUGGUCUGUGGGUUCCCCAAGAUAGGAUAAGGAAUUUUCCUGGAGUUUUCAUGGGGAAGAGAG
rnacentral:lncRNA from 1 species